rnacentral:rRNA from 1 species
GACGGAGGGGGCUAGCGUUGUUCGGAAUCACUGGGCGUAAAGGGCGCGUAGGCGGCUAAGUAAGUUAGAGGUGAAAGCCUGGGGCUUAACCACAGAAUUGCCUUUAAUACUGCUUGGCUGGAGUUUGGUAGGGGAUAGUGGAAUUCCUAAUGUAGAGGUGAAAUUCGUAGAUAUUAGGAGGAACACCAGUGGCGAAGGCGACUGUCUGGGCCAAUACUGACGCUGAGGCGCGAAAGCGUGGGGAGCAAACAGG